AUCAACUGGCUGAAACUGUGCACCAAAACUACGGACAAUGCUGUGAAUGGGGCCAUUCCCAAAAGAAAGAAUUUGAAAAAAAGUCGACUCAAAUAUGCCACAAGACGAAAAACAGAUGAUACAUCAGCCUCUCGAAGACAAUACCGUCAUUUUCCACACAGAGCUCCAAGAGGUGAAUGUUUAACAGCUGUUGGCAGUUGUCUCGGCCCUUGUGACGAAGGCGAACGAGUAUGUGGAGAAUCAAUUAAACCAACCCCUCUUUUUUUUGUCAGUGUUUGUGUUUGUCCGAGUUCAAAUGUCUUGAAGACACAAAUUAACAAGCCGCACCCGGAUUUUCGUGUCCACCUACGCACAACAAGCAUCCCACAUCAUCAUCAUUCGCCUUCCAUCAUUCUCAGCCAGCAACUCUUGUAGGACUGGUGGUUCACAAUUAGGUUACAGUGGGAUACUCCCCGCUGGUCAAACAUAGUGUUACAUCAUGGCCAAACGAGGGUGCUGCAGUUCGCAGCUUGAGUGUUGUUUUGGGAGACUUGGAUGCAGGUUCUGCUGCAGAUGCUGCCCCACUGCUUUCGAGUCGACAACAACUAGACUAAUGUACACACUGAUGCUGCUUUUGGGUACAGGUUUCAUGUGUGUCAGCCUCACCCCACACAUAGAAGAAAUACUAGAAGAGCAUAUACCUCAUUUUGAAGCCACCUGUGAAUUGCUGAAAAUUGGCGGAAAAUGUCAGCUGUUGGUGGGAUAUAUGGCGGUCUACCGAACUGCUUUUGCCCUUUCUGGAUUCUUUUUCUUCAUGUCGCUAAUGACUGUUGGUCUGAAGAAAAGUCGAGGCUUUAGAGCGGGUUUUCACAACGGAGCUUGGUUAUGGAAGUUUCUUCUGUUGAUUGGCAUCGGAGUUGGAGUUUUCUGUCUGCCAUCGGAAAGAAUCGCUCAUUUCCAAAUAGUUUGGAUGUAUAUAGCCCUGGUAGGAGCAGUGGCGUUCGUCCUCAUUCAAUUGUGGCUUCUCGUCUUCUUCGCGCGAAGUCUCGGCAACAAAAUCAAUCACAGGGUAGCCGAAGGUGGGAAUCCUGUCUGUUGGUACGGAGUGUCUUCCAUGUGCACCUUAUUGUGUUUCGCCAUCAGCGUCAUCGGCAUCAUGGCUCUGUUCAGCUACUUCACAACUUGGGAAGGCUGCACGACCAAUAAGAUUUUUAUUGGAAUCAACGCCGGUUUGUGCCUUUUCCUGUCGGUCGUAUCGGCCCUCAUCUGUUGUGGACCAAGAGAAACCCAUUCUGCCUUGCUGCAAGCGAGUAUCAUUUCAGUUUAUAUUACUUACUUGACGUGGACGGCUGUUUCGAGUAUUCCAAGGGAGCCGACCCCUUCGCCCGAAUCGUCUGUUCAACAGCCACAGUCCAAAAAUUUGAUGGACAUGCCGGAGAAUGGGGGCAUAUCGGAUCAAAAGUUCUACUGUGGACCAGAAGGUGCGGCUUUCGACUACAACGAGUUUGUCUUGCCUUACGUGGGUGUGGUCAUCAUGUUUUUCUCGGUGGUUUACUCCAGCUUAGGCACGUCAGCCGACAGUGCAGUGGCGCUCGGCGUGACCGGCCACCGGCGGGGCUCUGAACGAAACGCCGAACGAACAGAGAAAUCGUCAUCGUGUCUGCCAUCUUGUUGUGAAGCUCCCGACCAUGGCGAUGCAACGAACGGUGGUGGGAGUGGCGAGGAGGACAGGUGACGGUGGUGGACAACGAGUUCUUCGAAACGAACGCGAUGGAACAGUCUACAAUUACAGCCUUUUUCACGUUGUCUUUUGUUUGGCUUCCAUGUACAUCAUGAUGACGCUCACCGCAUGGCUCAGGCCGGAGCAGGCAACCCUGUCGAGUUUCAAUCAAAACUGGCCUACCGUUUGGAUUAAAAUGGGGUCUUCAUGGGCUUGCGUGGCUCUCUAUCUCAUUGCCCUACCCCUACGCCGGUUUGGACGUUACAGUCGAGUCGGCGGU
rnacentral:misc_RNA from 1 species